rnacentral:rRNA from 1 species
AUUGAACGCUGGCGGCAGGCCUAACACAUGCAAGUCGAGCGGAUGAAGGGAGCUUGCUCCUGGAUUCAGCGGCGGACGGGUGAGUAAUGCCUAGGAAUCUGCCUGGUAGUGGGGGAUAACGUCCGGAAACGGGCGCUAAUACCGCAUACGUCCUGAGGGAGAAAGUGGGGGAUCUUCGGACCUCACGCUAUCAGAUGAGCCUAGGUCGGAUUAGCUAGUCGGUGGGGUAAAGGCCUACCAAGGCGACGAUCCGUAACUGGUCUGAGAGGAUGAUCAGUCACACUGGAACUGAGACACGGUCCAGACUCCUACGGGAGGCAGCAGUGGGGAAUAUUGGACAAUGGGCGAAAGCCUGAUCCAGCCAUGCCGCGUGUGUGAAGAAGGUCUUCGGAUUGUAAAGCCCUUUAAGUUGGGAGGAAGGGCAGUAAGUUAAUACCUUGCUGUUUUGACGUUACCAACAGAAUAAGCACCGGCUAACUUCGUG